rnacentral:rRNA from 1 species
AUGGCGGAUGUGACUAAAAUCAUGAAGAUCCGAACGAACUUAAGGGUAGAUGAUUGGUUGGCGUGGGGGCCUGGAAGGUUGGGACAGUUUUCAGUGAAGAGCGCAUAUGAGCUAGCCUUUGAAGAAGCAAACCGUGCCACAGCAGUAGCUUCAAGCACUAAUCCAUCGGGCGAGCGUGCAUGCUGGAAGUGUAUCUGGGCCUGUGAUAUACCCCCCACCAUGCGGAACUUUGCGUGGAGACUCUCCACUAACUCACUACCCACUUGGCAGAGGAAGAACAUAAUAGGGCUGGAGACAUCCGCGGUCUGUCCUAUUUGUGCAAGAGAACCGGAGGACAAUUUCCAUGCCUUCUUUGUAUGCCCUGGAGGACAACAAUUGUAUACUAAAAUGGCAGAGUUAUGGCAUUUACCCGAGCUGCGAUCAGUUCACAACACAGGGACCGAAUGGCUGCUGCAAGCAUUAGAGCCCUUAUGUCAUAUGUCGCGGAGUAUGAUGCUGAUGACCUUGUGGAGGAUCUGGCAUGUUCGCAACGAGUUGGUUCAUAACAAACCGGCUCCGCCACUGGAUGUCUCGAACUGUGACCCAAGGAAAGGGAAGAUGGUGAUCACAUAUGCGCCGGAAGCAGGCACAUCACAUGUUGCAGAGGCUAUACGUCCCCCUAGGUGGUUGGCACCACCGUUGGGAUGGGUUAAGCUAAACUGCACGGGAUCAGUAGGCGUAGACGGAGGAGCGGGAGCGGGAGCGAUCCUAAGGAAGGAAGAUGGUGUCAUCAUGCUUUCCUUGUGUAGGAAGCUAUAUUCUUGCAGAGAUGUGAUAGAAGCUGAGUUAUAUGCAUGCAAGGAGGGUUUGGCAGCGGCUGUCCAACGGAGUAAAGCACCUAUGGUGAUCGAGUUGGGAUCCAAGGAAGUUCUGAAGAUGAUCCGUAGCAAUGAAGCUGAUAGAUCUAUCUAUGCUCAUUUAGUGUCUGAAGUUAAGCAGCUAGCUGUUAGCUGUAACUCUCUUUUCUCGUUUGACCGGGGCAACACCCCGGACAUGCCAUCGAACUCCAGAUCUGGCACCCCGCCACGACUAAAACGCCGAAGGAGGAAACCGUAUCUGCCAUCCAUGAACUACAAGCCCAGCACAUGCUCCAUCUUCCAGAUGUCGUCGAUGCAGACCACAAUCUGCAUCCGCUCCUGGACUACCUCCCAAGCUCCGCGCCGACGCUGGAGCAAACGCCGUCGCAACGGCGGAGCACGAGGACACAGGUCCACCACGAGGAUGUCGCCGCCGCCGCGCCAUCCUUACUUGAACAGACUGGUUUCCAAAUCCAUCCCCAACCAUAGGACCGAGCCUCGUCAGGGAAGGAUCCGAAGAAUCUUUAUUCAGCAUUGUCAUCGUCGCUGCCGAAGCAAAGACGAUGAACAACCUAAAAACCUAGACUACGAGAGAGUAGAAGCGAUCCACACGCGUGGAUCCGGCAACCCCCCUCACCACCGACAACCGAGGUCGCCGGCGGAGGGGAGCCGCCGGAGAGCGGCGUUGGAAUAUCGGCUUCCCUUGGCGGCGGCUAGGGUUCCAGCGGCCAGGGACGAGAGGAAACCCCUUGACGAUCCGAUCCACAGCUAG